AGGAAACACGCAUACCUAUAGAUUCUUUCUCUCUCUCAAAAUAAAUAACACAUCUGGAUAUCUGGAAUGGCCCACACUCUCGCGCACCUACCCGUAUUCAAUCUCUUUCUCUUUCUGCAAGCAAAGGGCACACCAGGAAUGACCAUGGGGAGCGGGGAGAGAUGGAACCUCUCACGCAGAGCCUCAGGGGAAAGCUGCUGCCCUUUCCGCUCCCACCCCCGCCAUGAGCUGAUGGAGAAGGAAGAUUUAAUUGUUUUCUCCAGCAGGUCAGUCAUCAAGAGAUGCCAGGAGGUUCCAAGGCAGAAGCCCCUGGGCAAAGCCUCUUCUAUCCUCUCUUUGAGUGCUUAGCAAAAUCGGAGAAAAUGCAUGCAGCAUGCCUGACCUUGAAAAACAUUCAGCCUGAUCCUGUGCUUGCUUACUUGAAAGUAAACCGCACUGGUUCCAAUGGGUCUUACGCCCUAUUAGAAUUUCACCAGAUAUUUUCCAAGCAAGAGAGAGCACCCAAAUUCUCCCACAGUUUUCUCCAAAACGAAAAUUUUUAAAGGUUUGUUGGAACUUGGGGGGAGGGUAGGAUUUUGGCUCAGCCCUAACUGAGAUUUAACUGAAAAAGGAUGCCAGCUACAGCUGGAAUGGCACAUUCAUGCCAAAACACACGGCUUGUCCUAGGCAUAUUACCCUCCAUUUGCCAAAGUGACACAUCUCUUGAAAGACUUGAGGUGAUACAACUUUUCCACAGAGUUUGCUAUGUGAUGGUUGUUUCACAUGUGCAAGGCCUACUCGGUCAUCAUUACGAGCAUGCUGUACAUCAAGUCAGGCCAUUGGUCCAUCGAGCUGAAUAUUGUCUACAUUGACUGGAGCAGGGUAGUCUCUCUCACACCUGCUUGGAGAUAUCAGGAACCACACCUUUCAUGUGCAAAGCAAGUGCUCUACCCCUCAGCUACAACCUCUUCCACAUGCGUGAGUUUACCUGUACUUGUACCACUAAUAUUGCACCACAACUGCUUUUCAGUAGCGUAGUAUCUCUAUGCAUCUUCUGAACAUGAUCAAAGAAUUGUAGAAUUGUAGGAUGGGAAGGGACUCCUAGGGAAGAAGAAGAAGAAGAAGAGUUUGGAUUUGAUAUCCCGCCUUUCACUCCCCUUCAGGAGUCUCAAAGCGGCUAACAUUCUCCUUUCCCUUCCUCCCCCACAACAAACACUCUGUGAGGUGAGUGGGGCUGAGAGACUUCAAAGAAGUGUGACUAGCCCAAGGUCACCCAGCAGCUGCAUGUGGAGGAGCGGAGAUGCGAACAUGUGUGUAAUAUGGACCAUUUGAGUGGGGAGAAAUAGCACCAAACUCCAAAGAUUCUGGAGCAUCCCAUGCAGUAGCAGUUGGUGGGCCAGCAGCG
rnacentral:lncRNA from 1 species